rnacentral:miRNA from 15 species
AGGGGUUGCUCUUGGUGAAUUC